rnacentral:rRNA from 1 species
GACGAACGCUGGCGGCGUGCUUAACACAUGCAAGUCGAGCGGUAAGGCUCCUUCGGGAGUACACGAGCGGCGAACGGGUGAGUAACACGUGAGUAAUCUGCCCUUCACUUCGGGAUAACCACCGGAAACGGUGGCUAAUACCGAAUACGACCAGUCUUCGCAUGAGGUGCUGGUGGAAAGUCUUUUCGGUGAAGGAUGUGCUCGCGGCCUAUCAGCUUGUUGGUGGGGUAAUGGCCUACCAAGGCUUCGACGGGUAGCCGGCCUGAGAGGGUGACCGGCCACACUGGGACUGAGACACGGCCCAGACUCCUACGGGAGGCAGCAGUGGGGAAUAUUGGGCAAUGGGCGAAAGCCUGAUCCAGCAACGCCGCGUGAGGGAUGACGGCCUUCGGGUUGUAAACCUCUUUCAGUACCGACAAAGCGCCCUGUCGGGUGGUGACGGUAGGUACAGAAGAAGGACCGGCCAACUACGUG